rnacentral:rRNA from 1 species
CGGAGGGUGCAAGCGUUGUCCGGAUUUAUUGGGUUUAAAGGGUGCGUAGGUGGCCUUAUAAGUCAGCGGUGAAAGUCUGCAGCUUAACUGUAGAACUGCCAUUGAUACUGUAAGGCUUGAGUACUGAUGAGGUAGGCGGAAUUGAUAGUGUAGCGGUGAAAUGCAUAGAUAUUAUCAAGAACACCGAUUGCGAAGGCAGCUUACUAAGGAGUUACUGACACUGAGGCACGAAAGCGUGGGGAUCAAACAGGAUUAGAUACCCUGGUAGUCCACGCCAUAAACGAUGAUUACUCGAUGUAUGCGAUAGACUGUAUGCGUCCAAGCGAAAAGCGUUAAGUAAUCCACCUGGGGAUACGACCGCAAGGUUG